UACGGGGGGGGCAAGCGUUGUUCGGAAUUACUGGGCGUAAAGGGCUCGUAGGCGGCCAACUAAGUCAGACGUGAAAUCCCCAGGCUCAACCUGGGAACUGCGUCUGAUACUGGAUGGCUUGAAUCCGGGAGAGGGAUGCAGAAUUCCAGGUGUAGCGGUGAAAUGCGCAGAUAUCAGGAAGAACACCCGUGGCGAAGGCGGCUCUCUGGUACGUGACUGACGCUGAGACGCGAAAGCGUGGGGAGCGAACAGG
rnacentral:rRNA from 1 species